rnacentral:misc_RNA from 1 species
GCCUCUUUGGCAGUGUCAAGGAUCUUCAUGAGAUGCCCCUGGAUGUCCCUCACGGCCUCCGCCAUGCUCGCCGGGGGCCGGUCGACGUACACGGUGAAGCCAGGCGCGCCAUGCUGCUCGAUUUCUGCGCUUGCCAGCACCCUCAGCUCGUUGCUCACAUGGUCCACCUUUCUCCCCACCUGCUCCCUCGACGGCGCCGCCACCUGUGCUGCUACUGCUGCCUGUUCACCCUCCUCCUCCUCUGCUCCGCCUUCACCUUCUCGGUGACAGUCGCCGCCGCCGCCGUCACUCUCUUCCUCCAGCUCUGGUAUCUGUUCGUCUUCUUGAUCAUCUCUCACCUCCUCGACGCUGUAACUCGGAUGAUCGGUCAGCGAAGAGAAAGGGUCCCAGAAGAGGUCCCAUCUCCGCGGCUGCGGCGACACCGAUGGGCCAAACAUCGGAUCAAUGGACGGAGGACGGAGGAACGGGCCAUCCGCCCCGAAGAAUCCGUCUAUCGUGGCAGCCUCAAUGGCCUCAUCAGUCGGCUCCCACUGCUCGACCACCGGAUGCACCGGAGCACCCGCCGGCCUCAGGCAGUUGACGACGACGAGAACCUUGUCGGGCGAUCCCGGGCGGUGCACGCACGAGGACUCCUGCAGCCGGUGGAGGUGCUCGUCCUCGGCGAAGUAGUAGAAGAGGCCCAUCGAGACGCGGCGGAGCGACUGGACGUAGGCGACGUGGGAGGAGGCCAGCAGGUCCCGCUGCGCGAUCGCCUUCCUCACGAAGCUCUUCCGGUCGUGGCAGGUCUUCACGGCCGCCUCCUCGUCCAGCUUCGACGAGGAGCAGCCCAUUGCUGCUGCCUGCUCCUUCUCCUCCUCCUCCUCCUCUUCCUGAGCCGGAUCGGAGCCAGGAGGUACCAGAGGAGGAACUGGGAGCAGCAAUGGUGGUUUCCUUUUCGUAUCGGA